AUUGAACGCUGGCGGCAUGCCUUACACAUGCAAGUCGAACGGCAGCACGGGUGCUUGCACCUGGUGGCGAGUGGCGAACGGGUGAGUAAUACAUCGGAACAUGUCGUGUAGUGGGGGAUAGCCCGGCGAAAGCCGGAUUAAUACCGCAUACGAUCUACGGAUGAAAGCGGGGGACCUUCGGGCCUCGCGCUAUCGGGUUGGCCGAUGGCUGAUUAGCUAGUUGGUGGGGUAAAGGCCUACCAAGGCGACGAUCAGUAGCUGGUCUGAGAGGACGACCAGCCACACUGGGACUGAGACACGGCCCAGACUCCUACGGGAGGCAGCAGUGGGGAAUUUUGGACAAUGGGCGAAAGCCUGAUCCAGCAAUGCCGCGUGUGUGAAGAAGGCCUUCGGGUUGUAAAGCACUUUUGUCCGGAAAGAAAUCCUUGGCCCUAAUACGGUCGGGGGAUGACGGUACCGGAAGAAUAAGCACCGGCUAACUACGUG
rnacentral:rRNA from 1 species